rnacentral:tRNA from 1 species
CAAAGAGUAGUUUAAGUAGAACUCUAGUUUUGGGGGCUAGGGGUGGAAGUUAAAUUCUUCUCUCUUUGA